UGCUGAGCACCGGGAGCAGCUGCCGGCACCGACAGGAUGUGCCGUGUUCUCCCUGCCGUGCAGGACACACCAGCAGUGCCCAUCUGGCAGGCUCGGCUCAGACUCCUGAAGCACAAGGGACAGACACAGGCAUCCUUGUUCUGGGGUCAGGAGAACCAAAGGCCAGGCCCUGUUCCAAGGAAUUUUAAUCCCUCAUAAAGCUACACAACCAUAUGGAGAGGUCCCAACCAGAACAAGGGAUUCACUCUGACUUCACUGUGGUCAGUGCACAAAGCCAUGCACCUCAGGAGCACACUCUUUGUCCCGAGAAAGGCUCACUUCCUCAAGUGCUUUGACUUGGCAACUAGAAGGUGGAGGCUCUGCUCAUGGUCUAAAGUAUUCUGAAAUCAGCCGUUUGCUGGGGCAGAAGCUGGUGAAGAGGGAUUUCAGCUUCUGCUCAGUGGGUCCAACCUGCAGCGAAAGGGGGAUAAAUUCGUUCAUNNNNNNNNNNNNNNNNNNNNUGAUUCUAAGUUAGAAUCACAGAAUAGUUAGGGUUGGAAAGGACCUUAAGAUCAUCCAGUUCCAACCCCCCUGCCAUGGGCAGGACACCUCACACUAAACCAUG
rnacentral:lncRNA from 14 species